rnacentral:rRNA from 1 species
UGGAAGCGUCUGGAAAGGCGCGCGAUACAGGGUGACAGCCCCGUACACAAAAGCGCAUGUGCUGUGAGCUCGAUGAGUAGGGCGGGACACGUGGUAUCCUGUCUGAAUAUGGGGGGACCAUCCUCCAAGGCUAAAUACUCCUGACUGACCGAUAGUGAACCAGUACCGUGAGGGAAAGGCGAAAAGAACCCCGGCGAGGGGAGUGAAAAAGAACCUGAAACCGUGUACGUACAAGCAGUGGGAGCACAGGUUUACCUGUGUGACUGCGUACCUUUUGUAUAAUGGGUCAGCGACUUAUAUUCUGUAGCAAGGUUAACCGUAUAGGGGAGCCGGAGGGAAACCGAGUCUUAACCGGGCGUUAAGUUGCAGGGUAUAGACCCGAAACCCGGUGAUCUAGCCAUGGGCAGGUUGAAGGUUGGGUAACACUAACUGGAGGACCGAACCGACUAAUGUUGAAAAAUUAGCGGAUGACCUGUGGCUGGGGGUGAAAGGCCAAUCAAACCGGGAGAUAGCUGGUUCUCCCCGAAAGCUAUUUAGGUAGCGCCUCGUGAAUUCAUCUCCGGGGGUAGAGCACUGUUUCGGCUAGGGGGCCAUCCCGGCUUACCAACCCGAUGCAAACUGCGAAUACCGGAGAAUGU